rnacentral:lncRNA from 1 species
GGAAAAUAAGGUAAAUAUCAUAAAAAAUUCAAUAACUCAAGCUUACAUUUGAAUGCAAAAAAAAGAUAUAUGAAAUUCAAUCUUUGGUAUAAAAAAUAAAUGAGGUUAUUGUAAUUUGAGCAAGGUCUGAAAUUAAUGUGAUUUUAAAUAGUUUAACUUCUCAGUACUGGGGUAUAACAAACAUCAUCCAUAAAGGUUUAAUAACCGUUAACAUAUAUUGAUUCUCAAAUUUGCUAAUUACAAAAAUUAUUACUAAGCAGUACUAGGGAAAUGUUGACUAUGAAAAGGGUGAAUAGCCAGAUUUUGGCAAGAAUUGGCCAUUUUCAGGAACAUUUUUUGCCAAAUAAACAUUGAUCACAAGUUUCAACCAAAGCAAUUUUUUUUCAUGAGUUCUGGUAGAUGACUUUCUUAAGGGGCAAGACUUGUGCUACAGUCAUUCUCUGUUAUAGGUCAAUACAUAUUUCUUUUUACAUCUUUCAGCAAUUCAAGUACAUAUUAAUUAUUCAUAGUAAGCGUAUCAUAGUACAAAUGUAAUCAGAUCACCAUUUUGAGUCAGAUUAGAUAUCCUGGAUAGUUUUUAAAGGUUGUAAAGAUGACCUUUGGUCUAAAUGAAAUUAAAUGGUGAUCUUUGGUCUAACUGUAAGCCAUGCAAUUAGCAGAAAAUAUUAAAAAGAUGAACUACAACUGUCACGCAUCAUGUUUCUGAAUUUUAAGAUUAGUCUGAGGGUUGUACCUCCAUUAGGAUUUUGUUUUUGGGGAAAUCAUUGUAGAAAACAUAAUUUUUUAAGGGGGAAAGACUGAAGCAAUUAAUAUCAAGAAACUGGCCAGCAUUUUUUUCUGUUUUACAUGACUAAUGAUAUUUUCAGUUAUUAUUGAUAAGUAAAAUUGUUUUGAUGCUGUACAUGUCAUUGUAACAGUAAUUGAAAACCAGUAAUUAACAUUCAGUUGCACAUUAAGAAUUGUUUUUUUGUUUAUCAUUCAAAUAACGGAAUGAUAAUAAAUUUAAUGUACAAAUGUACUAUUUAUCCAUAUAAUGGAUGCAAUAUUAUAUUUUUCUU